UCCUACGGGGCGCAGCAGUGGGGGAUACUGCACAAUGGGGGGAACCCUGAUGCAGCGACGCCGCGUGGGUGAAGGAGUAUUUCGGUAUGUAAAGCCCUAUCGGCAGGGAAGAAGCAAGACGGUACCUGACUAAGAAGCCCCGGCUAACUACGUGCCAGCAGCCGCGGUAAUACGUAGGGGGCGAGCGUUAUCCGGAUUUACUGGGGGUAAAGGGGGCGCAGACGGCAAUGCAAGCCAGGAGUGAAAGCCCGGGGCCCAACCCCGGGACUGCUCUUGGAAGUGCAUGGCUGGAGGA
rnacentral:rRNA from 1 species